rnacentral:rRNA from 1 species
CGGGCUGAGUAACGCGUAGGUGACCUGCCCCGAAGUGGGGGAGUAACUGCCCGAAAGGGUGGGCUAAUACCGCAUGCGGAGGCUCGUUCAUUCGAGCCUUCAAAGCAGCAAUGCGCUUCGGGAGGGGCCUGCGUCCGAUUAGCUCGUUGGUGGGGUAACGGCUCACCAAGGCGACGAUCGGUAGGUGGUCUGAGAGGACGAUCACCCAGACUGGGACUGAGACACGGCCCAG